GAUGAACGCUGGCGGCGUGCCUAACACAUGCAAGUCGAACGGUAAGACGAGGAGGUUGGUCCUCUGACGGUAGAGGCGGGCGUGUGAGUAACAUGUCGAUAACCCACCUUUAGGACUGGGAUAACUUAGUGAAACCGGUACUAAUUACGGGUUAUAUAUGCAAGCGCAUGGUUGGAUAGCUACGGACGGUUUGGCUGUCACUGAGAGCUGGUUCCGCGCCGCAUUAGCUAGUUGGUAAGGUAACGGCUUACCAAGGCGACGAUGCGUAGCCGACCUGAGAGGGUGAACGGCCACACUGGAACUGAGACACGGUCCAGACUCCUACGGGAGGCAGCAGUAGGGAAUCUUGCGCAAUGGGCGAAAGCCUGACGGAGCAACGCCGCGUGAGUGAAGAAGGUCUUCGGGUCGUAAAACUCUGUUAUUGGGGAAGAACGAAUUUAUAAGUAACUAUGCACGUCUUGACGGUACCUGCAGAGGAAGCCCCGGCUAACUACGUG
rnacentral:rRNA from 1 species